rnacentral:rRNA from 1 species
UACGUAGGGGGCAAGCGUUGUCCGGAAUCAUUGGGCGUAAAGGGCUCGUAGGCGGCCAACUAAGUCAGACGUGAAAUCCCCAGGCUCAACCUGGGAACUGCGUCUGAUACUGGAUGGCUUGAAUCCGGGAGAGGGAUGCAGAAUUCCAGGUGUAGCGGUGAAAUGCGUAGAUAUCUGGAGGAAUACCGGUGGCGAAGGCGGCAUCCUGGACCGGCAUUGACGCUGAGGAGCGAAAGCCAGGGGAGCAAACGGG